UCUAAAUCCCCGGCCCUAAAACUUCAAGUUUUUUUUUUUUUUUGGUACUGGGGAUUGAACUCGGGUCCUUGCGCUUGCAAGGCAGGUCACCGAACUGCUGAUCUAAAUCCCCGGCCCUAAAACUUCAAGUUUUAUAAAAUAACAUGACCGACUAUGAGGUAAAGUAUCCUCCUCUCUGGUAUUCUAACAACGUUCCAAUCUCCAUAACACCUCACCUUUGGCACCCUCCUCAAACUGGUUUGUGACUAGGGUUGUCUCUGAAGACUCUUCCUUUGGUAAAGAGAUAAUUUACCUGGACUGAACAGAUUACCCUAGACUCUUGUGAGCUCUUGAAAUGAUACAUGCAUGUUAGUAUAUAUGCAUAUGCCCAGUUUUUAGCUCCAGAGAGAAUCCUUUGGUCUUUUCAGGUGCACAAAAGGAUGUCUUACUCACUGAAUUUUGAGAAUGAUGGCUUUUUUCAGUAAGUUAAGUGGCUUACUGUUUAGGGUUCAUGAAGACAUGUGGACACACACAAAUUUCAUAUGUCGUACAAAGGGCAGAGGAAAUGUUACCUGAGGAAACUCAGCAACUAAUUCUUUUCUUUUAUUUCCAAAUAGAAUGUUUGGACCAAUGAGAAAGAAUAUCAUACCUCAGUUGCUAUCCUUCCAUUGUUACCUUCAAAAGUAAAAAGUUCUGAGCACAGGACUGAGGGAGCGUCUGAAACUGGCUCUGGAAAAGGCCUUUCAGAACCUUCUAGUACCUGUGUUUGAAACACCUAGAAUGGUUUCUAUUGUUCUGCCCGGCUCAGACCGCUGCCACCUUCAGGGUGGGCUAAGCGGAGAGAGAAGGAGAGAGAUAGAGGAAGAGACUGCCAUGAGCAAAUGUCCAAGAGCUGACAUUCACUCAAAGUUUCAAAAUCACAACAUACACCAUUAAGCGAUGGAAGCUGUACAUCUCACAAGACCCUGGCGAACUCUGCAAACCACAUUCUGAACAGUUGGUGAGAGGUGGCCACGGGGGAGGGGCCAGCUUCCUGUGCUUUGACAGAUGAGCAGAAGCCAGAGUUAAAAUCUGACUUGUUUGCAAGGAUUCCAAAACCAGAUCCAAAUCAUCUCUCAGAAUCUUUUCAGAAAUCAGAGUCUUUCAAGUAGCAUCAAGCAAGGCUGCAUGAUUCUGGUAAGUCUCACUUGGGGUCUAAGGAGUACAUGACCAACGCAAGCUCUUCAUAGAAUGCAGAACCUGCUAAAUCCAAACCUAAAUAUUUCAUAAUAAAAUGUCAACCUUCCAAAUUACGUUCUGCAUGAACAAACAAGCCUGGAAAACAUUGAAACAACAGUGCAGUAGGUGGAAACAGAUGUCACCGUUUAUUUUUAAAAUUAGUUUAUUCAACAACUGAAUGGGAUAUGUUGCUUAUUCUACACAACACUUUAGGAUCUGAGUAGUUUACCUGUUGUUAAAAAAAUAC
rnacentral:lncRNA from 1 species